rnacentral:rRNA from 1 species
UACGUAGGGUGCGAGCGUUAAUCGGAAUUACUGGGCGUAAAGCGCGCGCAGGCGGUUUUGUAAGCCAGAUGUGAAAUCCCCGGGCUUAACCUGGGAAUGGCAUUUGGGACUGCAAGGCUCGAGUGCGGCAGAGGAGACUGGAAUUCCUGGUGUAGCAGUGAAAUGCGUAGAUAUCAGGAGGAACACCGAUGGCGAAGGCAGGUCUCUGGGCUGACACUGACGCUCAUGCACGAAAGCGUGGGGAGCAGACAGG